rnacentral:lncRNA from 1 species
CGUGCAUUCUCAAAUGGUAUUAAAGCUACAGUGAGAAUAUUAUAGCUGUGCGUCAUUCCAGCUACUUCCGAGAAGAAAGACCUCGUCGCCGUGCAAUUUUCCGGCGACUUAAGAGGCUGUUCGUAACUAAACCACCUUUUUUGUUGGUGUUGUGCAAAAUCCGAGACCACCACGAGGUUCGGAAGAGAAUCCCGACCAACCCCAGA